CACAGAAACAGACCAAGAAAUUCCUAUCAAAUCAAGCCAAACGCUCAACGGUGGAAUUUUUGACCCAGGACUGGCAGUUAUUGAUGAUCCAGGUAGCCGAUCCUAUCAGAAGGGCCAGAGGUCCAUGUCCAUGUAAGCAGCCCACCUUCAAGAAAGGGUCAAGAGAAAAUCUGAAGUGCUGGAGCCUUUAUCAAUAUAUAAACCAUGAGUUCCCACUUCCAGACAGCCAUCACUCACAGGAGACACCCAACA
rnacentral:lncRNA from 1 species